rfam:Schistosoma curassoni strain Dakar, Senegal genome assembly, scaffold: SCTD_scaffold0017003
AUUGAGAUGACGAGUCCCAAAUAGAACAAAACGCGCGUCCUGGAU